ACGGCGAAUGCCGGAACGGACUACAUUGGUAAUGCGGCUGUCGCGGGUUCGAAUCCCGCCGGGUCUUCGAUGCGUUCGGGCCCGUAGCUCAGUCUGGUAGAGCACCGGCCCUUCGGGGCGUCCGUUUCAUCUCUCGUCGCCGUGCC
rnacentral:Y_RNA from 1 species